GGAUCGUUCCAGCCCAGGAGUUUGUGACCAGCCUGGUCAACAUGAGACCCCUGUCCCUACUUUUAAAAAUUAAAAAAAAAAAAAAAAAAAGAUAUUUUAGGCAGAGAGAAGUGGCUGUGCAAAGGUGGGUGUUUGCUGAGUUUGUUCAAGGAGCAGAAAGGAGGCUGCGAGGCUGCAAGGGUGUGAGGGGCAGAGGGCCUGGGGAGUUUGUGUUUGUCUGAGGGGGAUGGGAAAGGGGGUGUUACUUGGGCUGUGAAAAAAGCUCUUCCUUGCUGUCUGGUGAGAGUAGAGGUGGGAGGCCUCCAGGCCAAGGCAGGUGUGUGUGGCCCCAAGGCAGGUGUGUGCGGCCCCAAGGCAGGUGUGUGCGGCCCCAAGGCAGGUGUGUGGGGCCCCAAGGCCCAGCGGGUGAGACAACCUCACAGCUCCCAGGCUUUUCUUCCCCACCAGCCUCCCUGCCCUUUGCUAUCCUGACGCUGGUGAACGCCCCGUACAAGCGAGGAUUUUACUGUGGGGAUGACUCCAUCCGGUACCCCUACCGUCCAGAUACCAUCACCCACGGGCUCAUGGCUGGGGUCACUACGACGGCCACCAUCGUCCUUGUCUCGGCCGGGGAAGCCUACCUGGUGUACACAGACCGGCUCUAUUCUCGCUCUGACUUCAACAACUAUGUGGCUGCUGUAUACAAGGUGCUGGGGACCUUCCUGUUCGGGGCUGCUGUGAGCCAGUCUCUGACAGACCUGGCCAAGUACAUGAUUGGGCGUCUGAGG
rnacentral:sRNA from 1 species